rnacentral:rRNA from 1 species
GACGAACGCUGGCGGCGUUCCUAAUACAUGCAAGUCGAACGCAGUGGGGAUGGGUGAGUAACACGUUGGUAACCUCCGCAUCAGAGGGGAUAACACUUGGAAACAGGUGCUAAACCUAUACUGAUGGAUGGACACGCGGUGCAUUAGCUAGGUGGUGAGGUAACGGCUCACCAAGGCAACGAUGCAUAGCCGGUCUGAGAGGGUGAUCGGCCACACUGGGACUGAGACACGGCCCAGACUCCUACGGGAGGCAGCAGUAGGGAAUCUUGGGCAAUGGGCGAAAGCCUGACCGAGCAACGCCGCGUGAGGGAAGAAGGUUUUCGGAUCGUAAAACUCUGUUGUUAGGGAAGCGGUAUCUAACCAGAAAGCAACGGCUAACUACGUGCCAGCAGCCGCGGUAAUUC